rnacentral:tRNA from 1 species
UGGGGAUUCGCCAAGCGGUAAGGCAGUAGCUUUUGGUGCUACCAUCCACAGGUUCGAAUCCUGUAUCCCCAU